GUAGGAUCCUGCUGUUCCUAGGAUGUGGGCCAGUUGGCCACGGCCUCAACCUUGGCUGGCUCUGGUUGCUGUUUCCCACAUUCUACCCGGUGUCCCAAGUACUGGACUUCGGCCAUGCCAAAGUGACACUUUUCUGGUUUCAGAGUGAGGCCUGCAGCCCGAAUCCUACAUGUUGCAGAUGUUCCCCCCCAUGGUCCUACAUGUUGCAGAUGUUCC